ACAUAAAUUUUAUAAAAUUAAUUUUAAAAGAAUAUGUACAGCUUUAUAAAUAGUUAAAAUUCUAUUUUAUUUAUAUUAAUGUUUUUUAUUAAUAUUUUUCGAACAUUUAUUUAUUUUUUCUUUACAUAAGGUUUUUGUUAUAAUUAUUAUAAAUUAAUAUAGUCUUUAUCUUUUAUUUUUUUCAUAUUUAAUUGAUAUUAAUGUUCAAAUUAAUUAUAAAAUAAUUAGUAUUAUUUUUUUUUUUACUAUAAUUAGUUUUAUUUAAAUUAAUUUAUUUAUAUUUAUUUAUUAAAUUUACAUGACAUCUGUUUUAUAAAAACAUAAGAAUAAGCUUUAUUUAUUUUGGUCUUUUUUAAUUAAGUUUUAUUUAAAAUUUGUAGGUAUGUGUUGGUUUUUAAUUGUUUUCUCUCCAAAUAAGAAAAUGUUAUGUAUUUUUAUAAUUAUAAAAAUAAAAUUUUUAUUUUACUUAAGAUGAUAAGUCCCUAAAAGUUUAAAUUAAUGGGGUGAGUAAAGUUUAAUGAUUUUAGAAUUCAAAGGAUUUUUAUUAUUACUUUAGGGCUAAUGGGAUAAUCUUUAAUUAUAAAGGUUUAUUACCUCGUUGUUGUAUAAAUUAUGAUUAAAUAAUAGUAUUUGAUAUUUUUAAAACUGUUCUUUUAUUAAAUUUUUUCUUUAUAUGAGUUUAGAACGUAUUGUUGUAGUUCGGUUUCUAUCUAAUUUUUUAAAUAUUGUACGAAAGGAAAAUUAUUUUGUUUUCAUGUUGUACUUCUUUUUAUUACUUUUAAUUUUAUAUUUUGAUUUUUUUUUUCUUUUUAAAAUUAUAAUUUUGAGUUAUAUCGUUCUUUUUUUUAUAAAUUUUUAUUAUUUUAAUUUAUU
rnacentral:rRNA from 1 species